UGUGAUGCCUUAGAUGUUCUGGGCCGCACGCGCGCUACACUGAUGCAUUCAACGAGCCUAUCCUUGGCCGAGAGGCCCGGGUAAUCUUUGAAACUGCAUCGUGAUGGGGAUAGAUUAUUGCAAUUAUUAGUCUUCAACGAGGAAUGCCUAGUAAGCGCGAGUCAUCAGCUCGCGUUGAUUACGUCCCUGCCCUUUGUACACACCGCCCGUCGCUCCUACCGAUUGGGUGUGCUGGUGAAGUGUCCGGAUUGGCCUCAGCUGGUGGCAACAUCGGCUGUGGCUGAAAAGUUCCCUAAACCCUCCCACCUAGAGGAAGGAGAAGUCGUAACAAGGUUUCCGUAGGUGAACCUGCGGAAGGAUCAUUG
rnacentral:rRNA from 1 species